CUUCAGGAACAUUCCAAGCCUCCAGCUUCUCACAUGGAUGGAGAACUACUGAGAAUUUCCUGAAGUUACUUCUGCACUGCACUGCAAUCUUCUCAAGUGUAUCCUAGAGAGCCUAACAGAAGCCUUACAAAAUCCUCAUCACCUGGAGACGACAGAAAGGAGCUGUGACUCACUGUCAUUCUGAGGGAGACAAUGCAGUUUCAACCAUUUUUAUGCAAGAAACUUCUGAAUUUCCUGAAACUGCAAGACUAAUGAGGUGGGGACUGGAAGAUGGCUCCGCUGAGUAAGGUGCUUGCCACUAAAGCUGGUGACCCGAGUUCGAUCCCUGGGAUACACAUGUUGGAAAGACAAAAUUGACUCUCCCAGGUUGUCCUCUGACUUCUGUGCCCCAA